UACGUAGGUGGCAAGCGUUGUCCGGAUUUACUGGGCGUAAAGAGCGCGCAGGCGGUCAGAUAAGUCGAAUGUGAAAGCCCCCGGCUCAACUGGGGAGGGUCAUUCGAUACUGUUCGACUCGAAGGCAGGAGAGGGGAGUGGAAUUCCCGGUGUAGUGGUGAAAUGCGUAGAUAUCGGGAGGAACACCAGUGGCGAAGGCGACUUCCUGGCCUGUUCUUGACGCUGAGGCGCGAAAGCUAGGGGAGCAAACGGG
rnacentral:rRNA from 1 species